CACACUGCUGGCUACCACACUUGUAGAAGCCACAAGGUCCCAGCGCAGGACAGGCGCUCCACACCACAGAGGCCCGCAGUGUACUCCAGCUGCUCUGGCUGCUUUUCAGGUAUCAUACAUUCCAUGUGGCUCCAGUUAUGUGGAUCUCUGGCUCUGAUCCUUCAGUUUAAGCACAUCCUCAGGAAAGGCGGGUUAGCAGCUGAGCAACACUCUUGCCAAGAGGUUGCUGGUUUUCCUCCUCCCAGUAAGCCAUUGUCUUCGGGCAAAGCCAACGGUGAAGCCGGUCCUACUCAGAGGGACCCUGUACUGUGUCUGUUUACACCUCUACCUGGUUUCCUGGUUUUCCGCGUUUAUUUUGAUGAUGUAAAGAUUAGCUUCAGGCAGCGAUCUCAGUAGGUAAAGGUCUGAGCUGUGGUUCAGCAGUGGCCUACUUGCUGGAUAUUUGUAAGGCCCCCGAGUUGUAUCUCUAGUGCCAAAAAGUUAGCAACAGUAACGUAUACCCAAAACCCCCACAAAAUUAUGAGAUAAACACGAGGGUAUAAUCUAAUUCUGUCUACGUGACUAUGAGAAAUUACUAGGAGAUACUUUGAAACAGGGUCUUGUAUGUACCUUUAUGGGUUAAGACUGAACCUUGGCCUCUGUGGGUUAUAUUUAACAAGUGAUAGUUGAGGAACGCAAAUACAAUUAAUAAAUGAAACAUUGUAAUUCUCUAGGGGAGUGUUCUUAAAGUGGUGAAAAAAUUUUUUUCUUUUAAAGUUUCGAGGCCCCUGGUAAGAAUAUAAAGACAUAAAUUUAAAUUCCGAGUUUGACUUCUGGACUCCUAAUAGUUAAGCGUUUUUAAAAUUACAUUUCAAAAAUUUAGUGUGUGUAUGUGUUUGUGACUGUGUGUGUGUCCAUAUGUCUCUUUGUAUUUAUGUGUCUGUGUUUUUGUGUGUAUGUGCAUGUAUUUGUGUGUCUGACAUCUUGCCAGUCCCUCUACACAGUUUUUAAACAUGAAAGGGAGGGACUUAGAUUUUGUGUGUAUGUGAGUGUGUUUGUCUCUGUGUGAGUUUGUGUAUGAGUGUGUUUGUCUCUGUGUACAGAGAUAUACAUAUCACUGCAUAUAUAUCACCUAUCUUGUUGAUCUUGUUAAUCUCUUCUUGUCUGUAGUCAAGGUCUUUGGGGGGGGGUCUCCUCCUUCAUGUCUGAUUUUUAUCUACUUGGAAUAAACCCAUAACUCUUCUUUUUCUGUGGAAAUAUAGGCAUAAUCUCUCCACAGCAUAACACAUUUCCUGUUUUCCCGUCUUGUAGGUUGAUGUCAUUAUGUAGGUGAGUGCUGGCACAAGUUAUAUCAAGGUCAUGGUUGGACAGUAAAAGAAUAAGGUGGGGACAAAGUUUUUGUAGGGAGGGAGAGAAGGAGAAGGAGAGAGAAUCAAGAUGGAGACCGAGAAGGAUGACCCAGAUUUUGGUGUUCCUGAAUUGUCAAAGUAGCUGGGAGGGAUUUCUGUAGGCAAAUUUAUUUUAUCUAGGUGGGCAGUUUAAAUCCUUAUCAGUUGGUUAUAAGUUUUUCUGUAGAUGUAUUGUGGAUUGAGAAUUUAACACAUAAAUCUGAUUAUUGGGUUACUAAGUUGUUGGGAGUGUGAGGAGAGUCCAUGACAGGAAGCCGUGCUAGGCUAUAGAAUGCUUGGGGCUAGCAUGGCAUGGGGCCACCAUGCUAGCACAGCCCGUGGAAUACAAUGUGUGUGUCAGGCAUGGUAACAAUCCCCAAGGGGACAAUGUGCGAAAGCAGCUGACAGAAAAACAGUUCAAGAACUUGACUUUCCUGGAUCCACAUGGAGUGAGAACUUGUGGGAACCAUUUCUGCU
ensembl:lncRNA